AUGAAGAUCACAUUGAAGAACUUGGAGAGCCGCUCCACUCCUGACCUACUCAUGCAUUUCCAAAACUCCACCGGGGUCUCGUCAAGCCCGGUCGCUCGACCCAUACUUAUCCUACGCAAAGCCCUCAUGACCUCCUCCACCCUAAUGCGCCUACAGUACCCAAGGUCUCUAUGACGCUCCGAAUUCCCCAGCAUCGAUCCCUCUCCUUGUUAAGUAGGUCUCGAAAGUGCGCCUGCCACCAGUGCUUGACUUGAGACUUCCCCAUCAGAACUCUACCAUCCUUGCCUUGAUGCACCAAUUGGUCUAGAUCCUGCCCCUUCAUUUCCCUCACUUUAGCUAACCGGGAUAACUUCAUAUCCCCGCCUUUCUACCCUAAUUCCUCGUACAUUGACCAAAAGCCGCGUUUUUAGCUUCCGUAACUGCCACCUUUGCUUCCUUCCUCGCCACCUUGUAGAUCUUCCUGUUCACUCUCCUUUCUUCCUCACUUGUGCUCCCUGCCAACUUAGCAAACACCGCCUUCUUCACCUCCACUUUUUCUUAGACUAUAUCGUUCCACCACCAGUCACCCUGUGUCGGCAUGAAUAGCCUUUGGCUACCCUGAGCACAUCCCGUGCUACCUUCCUAACCAAGUUCGCCGUCUCGGACCAUAUUGUGUCUGCUUCCCCUGAAUUUCUCCAAGCUCUACCAUCAACUAACCUCCUAUCCAAUUCCUGGGCUUUCUCCUUAAGGUCGUCCCUGAGCACCCCUUCGCUUCCUCUUCACCCAGAGACCGACAUCCAUCAUGAGGAGUCUAUGUAGAUUCGAAAAGGACCCCCCGGAAUAACCUUACAGUCCUUGCAUAAACCUCUAUCGCUCCUUCUGAGAAGAAGGUAAUCAAUCUGAGUCCUCGCUGCCGAACUUUUGAAGGUGACCAAAUGUUCCUCCCUCUUCUGAAAUGUCAAGUUCGCAAUUAGAAGCUCAGAAACCCUGGCGAAAUCAAGCAGUGACGUGCCUUCCGUUCCUAACCCCAAGGCCAAAGCCACCCUGCAUCUCACCAUAACCACCAGCAUCAGCCCCAAUAUGACCAUUAAAGUUCCCUCCAAUAACUAACUUCUCAUAUUGGGGAAUAUUACUCACCAAAUCAUCCAAGCCCUCCUCAAAGCGCCUCUUAACCUCCUCAUCUAAGCCCACUUGCGGCGCAUAAGCGUUGAUGACGUUGAUGAUGCAACCCCCAAUAACCAACUUAUAGAUAUUAACCUAUCAUUCACUAUCCUAACCUCAACCACAGACUCCCUUAGAUCCCUAUCCACCAAGAUGCCCACUCCAUUCUUACCUCUCAUGACCCCAGAAUACCAGAGCUUAAACUCGUCUGCAUUCCUCGUCUUCGACCCUUUCCACCUAGUAUCUUGGACAAAGGCUAUGUUGAACUUCAUCUUCUGAAGAACCUUC
rnacentral:lncRNA from 1 species